rnacentral:lncRNA from 1 species
AGUCAAUAGAAGAAAAAGCCAAACCUUAGAGUUCGCUGCCGGUACAGUGCCUAUUCCUUAUGAGUUCUAGGCGUCUUCUAGGCUUUCACCCUCUGCCAGUCAGCUAUCGAGAUUGAGAUGCCUGCCUCAAAACCAGUCAUCCGAGUGGGGCCCUGCGACAUGUGCCAUAUUUAGGUUGCUUGCGACUGAGACUUUUAGGGAUUUAGAUAACAUCCGGUCGGGAAAGAGCCACUACUUGGCUUAAUUAAUUGAAGGAAAAUUAGAUCCCUCUUCGACAUCAGAUUCUUAUCCUCUUUUCCGGGGGAAAGGAUGUUUUAUUCUCUACGGCCCAAGGAAAAAGUGGUCUGCUUUAUGGAAUCUUAACUCAGCAAGGGGUGUCGCUUUCGUUUUCAAUAAGGACGUUUAGUAGGAGGUACUUGCCCUUAGAACCAUAAGAUUGACAUUGGCGAGUCGCCUUUUUCUUUUUACAUGAAAGGUGGGUAGGGGAUCUUAAUACUGCCAAAGAGCUCGAGUAGAUUCAUGAAUGUCCUGGAAUUUCAGUAUGGGCAAAAGAGGUCGAGAGAGUCUUAUGCCGCGCAAUCUCUUGCCGAAUCUAUUUAGACUAUGUUAAAUCCAUAACCCGAGAACACACAUUUGCGAAUCCGGCCUAAAGGGGAGGCUCU